ACGGCUACCUUGUUACGACUAAAGAGCUUCGAGCGAGCGCCGGUUUCGGGGCGCUAUAGAAAGCAGCUACGAAAAGGACCAGCGACUGACGUCGCUGGUCCUUUUCUUCGCUACAAGCACAUGCUGACUUUCGCGGCUCGCGGCUCGCGGCUCGCGGCUCGCGGCUCGCGGCUCGCGGCUCGCGGCUCGCGGCUCGCGGCUUCAGCCGGUCAUCGCCUGAGCCAGGAUCAAACUCU
rnacentral:rRNA from 1 species